UAGAGUUCCAGUUUGAGAGCAAAAUGGUGGCUGAAGGUGGAAUUUCUCCCCUCCUUUAAGCCAACAUGGAUGAAGAGGGAAUGCAAAACUUUGAAGUCACCUGGGAACGAUAGCAGAGCCAUAGGAUUGGAAAAGCCUGGGUCUCUGAGUGCCUGCAUGGAGAACCUGUCCUCCCAGGACCACGCUGAGCAGGCAGGGAAACUGGACAGCGAAGACCCUGGUAAUGAUCAGCUGAAGUUUGGGCUGAUAUCAACAGUUCCGAGCAGUGUUCAGCAAAAUGCUAAAUGGGCAAGCCACAUAGCACUGCUUUGAAGGUGCUGGACCCGCACCAUGAUCUGAAGACUCUCCUCAACUUUCUCCUGCUCUCACCCUAUUUAUCCUUCAUCAACAUUCCCUCCAAUAAAUAUCUUCCAUCAUGGUGUCUGCCUCUCACAAGACCUGA